UUUGCCUUUGUACUUAAAGAAAUUGAUUUAUAGAUCCUACCAUAAUAGCAUCUAUGGUUAUUUUUAUUAUUCUAUAUUUGUCUUGAAACUUAAAACCUAUUCUAAUGUCAAAGGCUUUGCUUUUCAAAUUGGUAGAUUUGUUGAAAGAAAAAGUUAAGAUGGCAUCUUUGAAUCAUCUACUAUGACGGACAUAUACAUUUAUUACAAUGGUUAUUUAUAUGAUUAGGUAGAAAUAGGUAAAUAUAGAUUAAUUUCAUAAAGUCUUCUUAAAAAGCUUUCUAAAAGCUUCAUAGAUAUGGUUUUGACUUUAGAUGUAUUUGUAAGUUAGAAACUUGGCCAACAAGCUAAUCAUGUCUUAGUAGCUUUUGGAAUAAGCUAAUUAUGUAGCACAUAUAUAAAUAAUUUGCUUUAUAAGUUAAGACAUGUGGCUAGCAAAGUCAAUACAUAUUCGAGUUCAUCACCUUUUGAGUGACUUUCUAGUUUUUUUCAAUGAUACAAAAGUCUAUUGAAGAUUUCUUUUUAUUUGAGAUUCAUAUCCUUGAUAGUUUGACAAGAGUGCUAACAUGUUGUUUCGGUCUUAUUUUAAAAGUGAAUGGAUUAUUCGACUUUUAUUAUUAUAUUUUGAAG
rnacentral:lncRNA from 1 species